rnacentral:rRNA from 1 species
AUUGAAUGCUGGCGGCAGGCUUAACACAUGCAAGUCGAGCGGAGAUGAGGUGCUUGCACCUUAUCUUAGCGGCGGACGGGUGAGUAAUGCUUAGGAACCUGCCUAUUAGUGGGGGACAACAUUCCGAAAGGAAUGCUAAUACCGCAUACGUCCUACGGGAGAAAGCAGGGGAUCUUCGGACCUCGCGCUAAUAGAUGAGCCUAAGUCGGAUUAGCUAGUUGGUGGGGUAAAGGCCUACCAAGGCGACGAUCUGUAGCGGGUCUGAGAGGAUGAUCCGCCACACUGGGACUGAGACACGGCCCAGACUCCUACGGGAGGCAGCAGUGGGGAAUAUUGGACAAUGGGGGAAACCCUGAUCCAGCCAUGCCGCGUGUGUGAAGAAGGCCUUAUGGUUGUAAAGCACUUUAAGCGGGGAGGAGGCUACUGAGACUAAUACUCUUGGAUAGUGGACGUUACUCGCAGAAUAAGCACCGGCUAACUCUGUGCCAGCCGCCGCGGUAA